CUAUGGACUGGCCUGUCCUGCCUCCCCACUUCAAGUGCCUGCUAUGCUUGUGGCAGUGGGGAGAUCAGUCCUCCCUGCCGAGACGCUGGUGGGACCUACCCCUCCCACAUCCGGGAUGGCGAUCUUCUCAUCCAGCAUUAAGAGGCCCCAGCCAGGAUCGCAGGCCCACGGUGCUAGGCGCUGCACAUGCACAUGGCAAGAGGCACUCCCAGCUGAAGAGCUCGCAGUAAGAGAUACGACAAAGGAAGGACCAUUGCCCCCAUUUUAGAGAUGGGAACGGGCUCAAACUGUUCUGUGAUUUGGCUGCUGUUACACAC